rnacentral:rRNA from 1 species
AUGCCUAAAAAAACACUUACACCAAGACUAAAGAACAAUAAGUAUUUCUCUAUUACUCCAAACUACAUCAUCCACAACUUCUAUGAUAUCACACUUCACAAGCUCCCAGCUUCUGACUAUGAGACGAUGAUAAGCAAUUGUAAUCAUGAACAGCUGUCAAAUGUCCAUUCAUCACUCCCCUCCUAUCCCUUGUGGCCAUCCUCUCGCCGUAGGUUAGAAAGAAUGUCACCAAGAUCAACAAGCCUUGUUUCCCUCGGUCAUCUUCCAACUUCCUCAAACAUCGCCACCCCCUCCUCACUACAGAAGUAG